UGCUGCUUGGACACUCCGACCUCCAGUCGACACCAGAGCUUUGAGUCUGUGAAAGAAGAGAGGAAGAAAAAUGAAAGGCACGCCUUAAAGAAAGUUCACCACAGCACUCAGAGACUGACACAAAGGGCUUUUUUGCUCUUUGUUUGUCUUUCAGUUAAGCGGCAGAGAGGAACAAGAUGAUCUUGUGCACAUCCUGAGGAAUUUUCUGGCUGAACAACAAAACAGAAAACAGCCACACCUAUGAGGACGCACACGAGGGCUCGGAAGGAAAAGAAUAUGGAAAAGUUGUUGAGCAUACCUAACACCGAGGUUUCUACAAACAGUGUGGGAGGCAAAAGAAAGUCUUUGACAGAAAUGGUCGCAGUGCUGCACCAUCAUAUUAAAUGCUGUUUGCCAGAGACAACCAAUAAGAACAAAUCUGGCUUAAAGCGAGAGGAACAAAAACAGCUGGUCAAGAGCCGCACGGAGGCUGGAGCUCAGGACCAGAGCAGGUCAGCUGCUAAUCAGACGGUUGGUGCUUUAAUCCCCGACUGCUCCAGUCUGCACACCAAAUGGGCAAGACACGAACCCCAAGUCGUUCUCCCAUCAGAGUUUGAGUGUUAGAUAGAAGGUGUGUGAAUGAGGCACGUUGUAUAAAAUGCCCAGGUAGAGGAGGAAAGUGCUACAUAAGAACCAAACCAUUUAUGAAAAAAUAAAUUUGAUUUUGAACUGGAAUUUAUGCAGAGACAACGAUAAACCUCAGACACGGGGCUGGACCUGACAAGUCUGAAUCACAUUUUAACUGAAACAUCUACAGACGGUACAAACAGCGCAGCAGCCGUUAACCCACAGAAUCACUUUUAUACUACAUUUGUGAGAAUAUCACAGAAAUGUCGGCCAACGUUUCAUCAAGAGUGAAAAACUGAUUUGAAACUUUUGAUUUAAAACAUUAAAACAAAGCACGGAUGAAAGUUAUUCAAACAAAUACAUGUGGACAUAAUAAUCAAUGUAGUUACACACUGAGCAGACAUGGAGAAACAUUAGCGCUCAUGGUAAACGCUCCACUUUCAUCAGCUGCUGUUCAUGUUAAGGUUGACGGGUGCUGGACGGGCACCAGAGGGCUGACGCCCUGACCACAGGGGAAGAGACAACGCUGUUCACACCGACUCUGAAUCGACACGCAAAGACCUACGUCCACAUAUAUGGGGAUCACAUUCUGGGUUGUCUAGACCACAAACUACAGAAACUACACCAGGGAUGGAGAAAGACCAAAUGUGAGUAAAGAUGAGACGCCAACACGGAUCACGAGUCAGAGGAAGCGUCAGUUCCUCAGCAGACAUGGGCAGCAACAUGGAAGAUGAUACACAGCGCGUGUAGGAUGAUAUUAACGCCUUUCACUCAGAGUGUGAACACACCACACAGGGCUGACUCCUCUUUACAAUAAACUGACACUUCAGAGUUACUUGUAAAAGUGUUACUCACCCGUUCGAGUGAUCUUAUAGCAUCAUUUUUGUGUUUCAUGUUUUCUGCUUUGUAAUUCAAAGUGGGGAAAAGACAGCAGGUUGCAGUAACGUCUGCAUCCUCAGUCUGUGUGCAGUCCACAAGUUUUCACGUGGGAUGAGCAGUGAAGAUGAAAGAGUCACUGACACAGUGUGAACCGAAAUGUACCCGUUCACGCCUCCAGCCCAACCUGGAGCUAAAGCUGCCGAGGAGCAGAAACAGCAGCACAUCAGAGAAUGGAAUUAGCCACCGCUCGGAGCUAAGAAUCUGGACACGCUAAUGUGGUUUUCAUCUCCGGGGAUUCAGAAGUUUAUUCUGUACGCAACAAGCUAUUGUUCCUGUGGGACAGGCGUACUGCGCACAGCACGGUCCGAAGGUUUGAAAGCACAGAGCUGGUGAGCAGACCAGACUCCAAAUGAACGCUAAGGCUGUUUUUCACCCUCCACAACAAAACUAUUACUGCCAGCUUAAUAAAGCUGUACUC